rnacentral:tRNA from 1 species
CAUUAGAUGGCUGAAAGUAAGCAAUGGUCUCUUAAACCAAUAUAUAUUAGAUUAACAACUAUUUCUAAUGG